GGGAGCAGUUGUGGCUGAAUGGUUACGAUGUUCGCUUUGUAAGCGAAUGGUACUGGGUUCGAUUCCCAUUUGCUCCCA
rnacentral:tRNA from 1 species